rnacentral:lncRNA from 1 species
CGGGAAUACAUCUCGGUGGUAAAGUGCCCCGGGUUCAGUCCCUGGUACCAAAAGAAAAAGGAAAAGAAGUACAAUGAAUUGUCAGUAAACAGAAAGGUACACGACCUCAUUUUGUAAAUUAAAUUGACGCUUUGACAGCAUACCUACAAAACAGCGGUGCAGUUAGCCUGUGCAUUACAGCUGAGUGUGAGAACAGUGCCUCCAGCCCAGACACACAGUGCACGGCGUUUGUNACCCUCUCUCCACAGCCUCUUGGAUGAAGUUAGUCUUCCAUCUUGAGGAUACAGUUUCUCUUCAGUGACAGUGAGCAUUAUAUAUAUAUUUACUUUUUUUAUUUCUGAAAGAAAAAAAUAUAUAUAUAUAUAUAUAAAAUCAUUCAAACUGACCAAAUAAGUCUAUAGUGAAAAGUCUUAUUUCUAUCCCAGACUUCUCUCCUAAGAUCCUCAUACUAUCAACUUGAAUUUCCUUCUGGAAAUUUCUAUGCAUAACUAGCACAGUUUCCUUUCUUUUUUUCUUUUUUUUUAAACAAGAAUAAGCAUAGAGCAUGCUUUCUGUUCAACACCUUGUGCCAGUGUGUCUCAGAUAGUGUCUCAGGUAAAUACAGAUCAGAAUAUACAGCUCUACCAAGGUCUCUUGCACAGCUGAAUGAUAUUUCAUUGACUAAAUACUUGCAAUUUUAAAAUUACUUAUUAAAUAAGAGAUAUGACAGACCUUUUCUAAAAUAGAUACUGAUGCACCACCACCUAGUUUAAGAAAAUAAAAUGUUGCUAGUACUUGGGAACACACCACCCCAACUUGGCAUAAUUUGUUUAACCCACUUCCAGUGACAUUUAGGUUGCUUUGGUCACACUAUUAGAAACACUCCAGUUGAAUUUCCUCAUACUGUAUGCUUUUGCUUUCAUUAGCAAAACUGUCAGUAGUAAUUUUUUUAAUAUUUAUUUUUUAGUUAUAGGUGGACACAAUAUCUUUAUUUUAUUUUUAUGUGGGGCUGAGGAUUGAACCCGGUGCCUCAUGCAUGGUAGGCGAGCGCUCUACCUCUGAGCCACAACCCCAGCCCCUGUCAGUAGUAAAUUUUUAGGAGUGAAAUUUUGGGGCCAUAAACAAUAUGUUUUUUUAAGGUUUAAAAAUUUUUGUAUAGGUAAUAGACUACUCAAAAAUUUUUUUAAAAUUCAGAAAAAUAUAAGAAGUUCAUUCUCAGUCUCCCUUGGGCCUAGCUGUCAUCUCCUAUCCACAACCCCCAUCAACAUUUAAUGAUUUUGCAUUAUAAUAUGUCUCUCUUGAGUGUGUUUGUGUAAAUACAGGCAAGUGCAUCUCCCCUGUUGGUUUCAUAUAAGCAUUGAUCUAUAACUUGAUCUUAUACAACAAUAUAAUAGCAUUCUAUAACCCUGUAUUCUUUGAAUAAUGCUGCAAAGUGUAUUGUUAGAGUGCACGUGAUUUAGUUAACCAGCUCCUCUUGGAGAACACUUGGGUUGUUUCCAGAAUUCUGCUGUUAUGAACAAUAGUAUAGCCUGUUUAUGAGCAUUCGAAAUUUUAAUAUGUAAAUUUAUGUAAACGAGUGAUUUUCCUCCAGUGAGAUCACACCAUCUUAUGCUUUUACCAACAAUAUGUAAGAAUGGCUCUUCCCCAGCUCCACCCAGGCUAAUAUGAUAUAAUCAAAAUUGUUAUCUUUGGGGGGCUGGGGAUGUGGCUCAGGGGCAGAGCACUUGCCUAGCACCUGUGAGGCACUGAGUUCGAUCCUCAGCACCACACAAAAAUAAACAAAUAAACUAAGGCAUGCUGUCUAUCUACAACUAUAAAAAACAUUUUUUAAAAAUCUCAUCUUUGCCAUUCUAAAAUGGAAAAAAAAACAGUAUUUUGCUGUAUUGCAAAGAUUAAUCUGUUAGGAUAUUUAUUAUUACUAUUUACCAUAUUAAUGGAUCACAGGAGAGAAACCACAUAAUUAUCUCCAGAGAUUCUGAAAAGGCAUGUAUAAAACUCAGCAUCCAUUCAGAUUAACAAAACAAGCUGUCAGUAAAAUUAAAAUGAUUGAAUACCUCCUUACCAUGAUAAAAAAUACAUUUGAAGUCAAAAGCCAGCAGCUUAUUUAACGAUGAACCUAGAACUGUUCCCAUUGAAGUCAGGAGGGAGACAUAGUUGUCAGUGUCAUCAUUAUGAGGCAUUAUUCUGGAAUUCUAGCCAAUGCCAGUCAAGAGAAAGAAAUAGUGUACAUGCCAGGCGUGUGGUGCACACCUGUAAUCCCAGGGACUCAGGAGGCUGCACUGGGAUCCUCCUGUCUCAGUCUCCUGAGUCUCGGGAUACAGACGUGUGCCACCAUACCCAUGAUUGAUAGAACUCUUAAGCACGUACUGUUCAUGUACUCAGUACAACUUUAAGGCCAGCCUCAGCAACUUAACAAGUCCUAAGCAACUUAGUGAGACCCUAUCUCAAAAUAGCAAAAACUAAAAGAGCUGCAGAUAUAGCUGGUGGUAAAGCACCCCUGGGUUCAAUUCCAAGUACCAAAAACAAAGAAGAAAGAAAACCAAAUAUACAAAGAAGAAAGAGGUAGUUAGUUAAUCAUUAUUUGCAGAUGACUUGAUUGUAUACCUGGAAUAUUUACCUGAAAACCAAGGAAAUGCAUAGGCAGAGAAUUGAGAAAAGUCGGAAAUCGCAGUGAAAUGCGUAAGAAUCCAGAGCUUGCCUGUGGGCUGGGCUGUGGCUCAGUGGAGGAGCGCUCGCCUAGCACUGGGUUCCAUCCUCAGCACCACAUGAAAAAUAAAUAUAUAAACAAAUAAAAUGAUUUUUAAAAAGAGCUUAUCUGUAUGCAGGAAUAAGCAAUUGGGAAAUGCAGUGGAAGAAAUUACCCUAUUACAACAGCAGCUAAAAAGAUGAACUACCAGGCUGGGGUAUAGCUCAGUUGGUAGAGUGCUUGCCUUGCACACACAAGGCCCUGGGUUCAAUCCCCAGCACCACAGGAAAAAAAAAAAAAGAUAAACUACCUAGGCACAGUCCUAAUAGGAACUAUGUAGGAACAAUGUUAAGUAAAACGGUAAUCAAAGAUAUGAAGGAAGACUUGAUUAAAUGGGAGGAAGAAUCUGUUAUUAGACAGUAAAGGUUUUUGUGUUUUGGUUUUUUGUGGUCUGGGGAUCAACUGAGAACCUCACAUGUGCUAGGUAUAUAUUCUACCACUGAGCUACACCCCAGGCCAAGUAUUUUAAAGAUAGCAGCUGUCCCCAGAUUAAUCUUCACACUUAAUAUGGUCCCAAUAAAAAUAUCAACAGAAUUUAUUUUGGAAGUAGAAAACUUGAUUCUGAAUUUCAUAUGAAAAACAAAUACAUAAAAAUAGCUAGGAAAUUCAGAGAAAAAAGGACUGAUCCUACCAGAUUUUUUUUUUUAAGAAUUUAACCUUUAUUUUAUUUAUUUGUUUGUUUAUUUAUUUAUUUAUUUAAUAUUUAUUUUUUUAGUUUUUGGCAGACACAACAUCUUUGUUUGUAUGUGGUGCUGAGGAUCGAACCUGGGCUGCACGCAUGCCAGGCGAGCGCACUACCGCUUGAGCCACAUCCCCAGCCCCUACCAGAUUUUUUUACCUGCUGCCAAGGGUUGAACCCAGUGCCUCACCCGCAACAGGCAAGCGCUCUACAACCCCAGCCCCUACCAGAUUUUAAAACAGUGAUGUGAUGUACAUAGCUAGAAAGGUGCUUCCGGGGAUCAGACGGGAGCACCCAAAAGGUCGAAAACCAUAUGAAUGGUAUUUUUGUAUGUUGUAAACAUAAGGCUCCAAAUGAGUGGGGAAAUGGUGGUAGUGGGGCUGCCAGCUCUCCAUCCUGAAAACAAAACCAGAGCUGUUUGUCUGCCCCCUUCCCGACUCCCAGACCCCUACAGAUCCAAGGUUUAAAUGUAAAAUAAAUGAAAUCUGAUCACUAGAUAAAAGGAGGGAUAUUUCUAGAAUCUUCAAGCAGCAAAGCCUUUCCAAUCAAAGACACAAAACAUAAAGUCAUCAGGUAAAAAGCCCAGAAAUGUUAAUAGUAAGAAAAAAAUGGUGCGUAGUCAAAAGACCACCUGAGAAAAACACCACAGUGCCCAGCAGCCCGAGGCUAAUUUCUUUGAUACGUGAAGGGUUCUACAGAAAUCCCAAUGGAAAACCUUAGGAGAAAACUAAAGUAUGUGAGCUGUACAUUCAUAGAAAAGGAAAUACAGUGAAUUGCCAGGUGGUGGCACACCUGUAGCCUGUAAUCCCAGCAGCUCAGGAGGCUGAGGCAGGAGGAUCACAGGUUCAAAGCCAGCCUCAGCAACUUAGUGAGGCCUUAACCAACUCAGUGAGACCCUGUCUCAAAAUAAAAAGGGCCGGGAAUACGUCUCGGUGGUAAAGUGCCCCAGGUUCAGUCCCUGGUACCAAAAGAAAAAGGAAAAGAAGUACAAUGAAUUGUCAGUAAACAGAAAGGUACACGACCUCAUUUUGUAAAUUAAAUUGACGCUUUGACAGCAUACCUACAAAACAGCGGUGCAGUUAGCCUGUGCAUUACAGCUGAGUGUGAGAACAGUGCCUCCAGCCCAGACACACAGUGCACGGCGUUUGUGCAGAGGUCUUCAUGCAGCAUUGUUCACAGCAGCAAGAGGCUGGACGUGGUCUCAAGCACCAUCAUUUGCACACUGGUUAAGUCAGCCGUGGUGCAUCUCCACUAAAGAGUACUAAACAACCUUGUAAAGCACAGCGUGUCUGUGUGAGACCAUCUCUGAAACCUGUGCGCAGAGGGGAAGGCACUGUGGAUGGCAGGGGAGAGACAUAGUGUGUGUGUGUGUGUGUGUGUGUGUGUGUACACGCGCAGAGUAUUUUCUGGAAGGAUUACGACAGUCUGGUAGCUGGUAAUGCACUGCAUCUGGGGAAGGAAGGACACAUUUCAUUGUAUUCUCUGAGUGGUUGGAAUUUUUACUGGUGUGGUAUCUAACUUUUCAAAUAAAAAAAAAGCCAUUGGGCUGAGGUUGUAGCUCAAUAGUAGAGAGAGCUCUCCCUUGCACACGUGAGGCCCUGGGUUGGAUCCUCAGCACCACAGAAAAAUAAGUAAAUAAAGUAAAGGUAUUGUGUCCACCUCCAAUGAAAAAUAAAUAUGUUAAAAACAUCAAGGAGAAAAGCUCAUGAAAAUGGCACCUUGUUAUACAUUUUGUUUUUAGAGUAACAACAUUCAUUUAUUAGUGUUUACAUGUGAUUUGCAUUUACUUUUAUGUGAAAUACCUUUUCUGUCCUUAUCCAGUUUUCUUUUGGAUCAUUACUCUUCAUUAGCAAGUUAGAGCUUUUAACAUAAUAAGAAACCUUAACCCUUGACCAGCGUAACCCAACAGAGCCCUCAGGCUAGGAGGGCAGCAACGGCUCUCCACUGCCCCCUUGUGGCAGGAUGCAUUGCCCACUGGGCAAUGAACCUUCUGGAAGGGAAGAUCAGCCUCCCUCCUGCUCUUUACUGGUUCAUAUCCUUCAGUCUGAAUAAACCCCCAGAGCCUCCCACCCCACUUCUGGGGAUUGAACCCAGGGGCACUCUACCACUGAGCCACAUCCCCAGCACUGUUUAUUUUUUUAUUUUGAGACAAGGUCUCACUGAAUUGCUGAGGCUGGCCUCAAACUUGUGAUCUUCUGCCUCAGCCUCUUGAGUCACUAGAAUUAUAGUGUACAGCACCAUGCCCAGCAGAACUCAUUUCCUUUAAAUUCAUUCCUUUAAUUUCUUUAUGUAAUAGGUUCAGUGUUUUUCCUUCUUUUUUUUUCCCCUCAACCACUGAGCCACAUCCCUAGCCCUUUAUUAUUAUUAUUAUUAUUAUUAUUAUUAUUAUUAUUAUUAUUAUUAUUAUUUUCUUAUUUAGAGACAGGGUCUCACUGAGUUGCUCAGGGCCUCCCUAAGUUUCUGAGGCUGGCUUUGCACUUGUGAUCCUCCUGCCUCAGCCUCCUGAGACACUGGGAUUACAUGCAUGCACUACCGUGCCCUGCUUUUCCUCUUUAUCUUCUAUGAAAUCCUUUCUGAAACUCCGUGGCUCAUUCAUUCAAAACACAAGGACUUAUUAUCAACUAAAUUGAGAAUGUGAAGAAUUGCUGCCCCAAGUGUGCAGGAUGUGUGACCGUAACACAGAGUUGGAAUGUGCCGUAUGGAGGGACAUGCAGUGUGCCAUGGGGACACAGGAUAUUGCUGCCAGCUCCUCCUGGGAAAUCAAGGCAGGUGGCUUAUAGGACAGGAAACGCUAAUGUAGUAGCCACGUUUUCUCAGCGUCUCAUGCAGUAAUAUACUUUGCUUCCUUCUCAUAUGAAUUGAGCUGGGUCCUCCGUUUCCUUUCUCUCUUGAUGACCUCAGCCAGCUGCUCGUAUCUAAAUGCCAUAGAGCACUACACACACACCUCUAGCCCAGACCUUCUCACACCCCAGAUUCCUCCAUCCAGCUGUUCACGUGUCCCUUCGACUUGGAUUGGCCUCCCCGACAUGACAUGUUCAAAGCACAGAUCUUGAUUUUUGCUUUCUUAACCUCCUUCCCUCCAGCCUUUCCCAUCUUACUAAAUAUCAGGUGUUUCCCGUCUUAGUGAAUAUCAAUCCAGCUGUUCAAGCCAAAAACCCAAGGAUCACCUUUUCCUCUGUGCCCUUCACCUCCUUCAACCAAAUUAUCCUUUGACUUCUAUCCCAAGUCUCCUGCUCUUCUUCCUACCUCUAGUGUAGCAUUCUCUCACCUGGAUCACAUCUGGUCUCUCUGCGGUAUUCACUCAACACAUACCUACAGAGGUCCUUCUGCUAGAAUAGGAGCCAGAUGGUGACCAGCAGUCACCUAAGUAGAAGUAUGAGAUCUUGUGUCUCCUAGGGGUCACAGAGAGCUGGAGUUCAGAGGGCAGUGAGGAUCUGUGGAGGUAGGACUAGAUUUAGGGAGCGGGAUGGCCCCCAAAGAAAUGAUCCCUGAGCUGAGACCCUAAGGGUAACCCAGAAGAAGGUUCUAGGCAAAGGCUACGGUACAGUUGGCUUUCCGUAUCCACAGGUUCUGCACGCGUCUGUUCAACCAAGUGUGGAAUGAAAUGUUUUUAAAUCUGCUGAUUAUGUAAUUCGAGUCUGUCUCUGUACUAACCACAGCCAGACUUCCACUUCCUGCCGCCCUCCCUGCACCGGGCAGUGUAGCACCUGCUCCCACAGCGCUUACACUGUGUCAGCUGGGGUAGGUGACCUGGGAGGACACCCAGGGACUUGAGCAGCCUCAGAUCUCGGUUCUGCAGAGGUCCUGGGGCAGUGCCCCGUGGACACUGGAGGUGGCUGUCCUCAGCCGUCCUGUGGUAGGAGGAGACAGGGGGGAGGCCCGUGUGGACGAGGACAGAGGCCCUCUGAGGCCCCUAGGGCUGGCCUUGAGGUCAGUGCCCUUACCACAGGAGCCCUGGAGGGCCACUGCAGGUCUCGAGGGUCACUUUUUCUGUCCCACACUUUGGCCUGCUUUCCCAGCUUUUGUCUACCAGAUUUCCUGUCCCACUCUGAGAGGACCACUUGGGACCUUUGCCUCUGAUUCCCACCAACACCCCGGUCCUCGCUCUGAACUGAUACUCUUACAUCCCACGUCAGGAAACCACGGUCGUCAUGUAAGAGAGGCCGGUCUUAAUCCCCUGACCUCCCUCCCUCCUCCGAACCUCACUCUACCCCUAGGCACAAGGGAAGCGCCUUCCGCCUCCCCUUGAGUCCUGCGUGCCCUCCCUCUUGUCUGUUCUGGGGCUUCCUGCUUCUCCCCUCGUCAUCGGUGGUCCUUGCCAUCAGCCUGGAAACACGGCCGACCUGUGGACACCUUCCCUUGACCUGGGUCUCCCUCCAGGAACACCCUGGGUCUCCGCUCCUUCACAGCCAAGCCUCUCAGGACAGUCACCCAUGCUAAAAAGGCUGACCACCAGCCACAUGAGGUUAUUGAGCACUUAAAUGUGCCAGCUUGAUCAAGGGACUGAAUUAUUAUAUUUAAUUUUGAUUAAUAGCCUCGUGUGGCUACCAUAGUGGAUAGCCAAUUCCAAAGGAUUCAAAUUACAUAAUUAACAAACUCAGUCAUUCUCAUAUGUGUGCGUGCGCAUAAUACAUGU